rnacentral:tRNA from 1 species
CAGAUUAAAGCUUAGUUAAGUUUUUUAUUUACAUUAGAAAGAUUACUGUUUAUUCAGUAUAAUUUGA